AUUGAACGCUGGCGGCAGGCCUAACACAUGCAAGUCGAGCGGCAGCGGAAAGUAGCUUGCUACUUUGCCGGCGAGCGGCGGACGGGUGAGUAAUGUCUGGGAAACUGCCUGAUGGAGGGGGAUAACUACUGGAAACGGUAGCUAAUACCGCAUAACGUCGCAAGACCAAAGAGGGGGACCUUCGGGCCUCUUGCCAUCAGAUGUGCCCAGAUGGGAUUAGCGAGUAGGUGGGGUAACGGCUAACCUAGGCGACGAUCCCUAGCUGGUCUGAGAGGAUGACCAGCCACACUGGAACUGAGACACGGCCCAGACUCCUACGGGAGGCAGCAGUGGGGAAUAUUGCACAAUGGGCGCAAGCCUGAUGCAGCCAUGCCGCGUGUAUGAAGAAGGCCUUCGGGUUGUAAAGUACUUUCAGCGGGGAGGAAGGUGUUGAGGUUAAUAACCUCAGCAAUUGACGUUACCCGCAGAAGAAGCACCGGCUAACUCCGUGCCAGCCGCCGCAGUAA
rnacentral:rRNA from 1 species